rnacentral:lncRNA from 1 species
AGGAGAUGUGUAUUAUGGAUGUACCUCAUCUUUAGGUACUUCUGAUUGAGGAUCUUCUUGUGGUCCAACCAUUGAUAUUUCUGGAUCGAUUUGUAGAUCAUAAACUUCAGUAAGUUCAAUAUUCCUCCCACUGCCUCCUUCUUGGUGUUGGAAAUAGUGUCCCAAAGUCAAUCGUCAGUCUGUUGAUGGUUGUACUCCUUUUGUAUUAGUAUAUAAAUCA